CUCGGGAGGCUGAGGCAUGAGAAUCCCUCUGGGCCACAGAGGGAGACUCUGUCUCAAAUAAAUAAAUAAAAAUCAAGAUCAAAAUGUAUAUGAUCAGGAGCCUCAGCUCCACCACUUACAGCUCUGUGGCUUUGGGAAAGUUGUUUUGAGCCUUGAUUUUCUCAUCUGUGUAGUGGGGAUAACAUAUACAUACUAAUUAAUAGGAUAAACCAUAGACACGCCUCGCUCAUAGGAGGAGAAGAACAUCCUCACACAAUGGGAGAGGUGGGGAUUGUGGAAAGGAGAGAGCAAAUGCCUCGUCAAGAUGCUGCUGUGCUGAAACAUAAAUCCAGUGUUGCCAGAUCCUCCAAUCAUCCAAAAAAGCCGGAGACCCAUCUUUUAAUGUUUAAACUGUAUUCAAAUGUGUCCUAAUGUUUAAAACUUUGUAUAAGCCAAAGAAAACAUCUGUGGGCCAGAUUUUGCCCCACACAGCCAAGGUCCCUGCUGAUUCUGAUCUUCUAAGAUCUCUGAAUAAGAAAGAGGACAAGGGACAGGUUGCCCUUUCACUCACAUUUAUCAGACAGGAUUAGGAUCAGUUGCACACAACAGAAAACACCCAAAUAAUAGUGGCUGAAAAAAGACAGAAGUUUAUUUCUCUGUUGUGUAAAAAGGCCAGAGGCAGGCAAUGCCACUGAUGUGACAACUCUGUGAAGAUGCCUCCUUCUAUCUCUCUGCUCUGCCAUCCCUAGCAUCCAGCCCCUAUCCUCAUUGUGCAGUAUGGCUGCUGGGGCACCAGCCUUCACAUCUGCAGUCCAGAGAGCAGGGCUGAGGAAAGGAUGCAGCAGCUAGUGCUUGUCUCUCUUUUUUUUU
rnacentral:lncRNA from 10 species